UCGUCCUUGUCAGGUAUGCAUACAGUUGGGACAAUUUUAAAAAAGAUGAUCCUCAUCAUGAAAUGAAUAAACCUUAUUAUCCAGGUAAAAAGCAUUAAUAUCCAGUGAAUAUAUUUUGUAACAUGGAAAGCUAAUAAAAGUACAAAAAAGUUGUUUCAGUAGAAACCUCUGUUUAAAAACUCCAGUUGACAGAGACUAUAGAGUGAAUAUGUCAUCUGCUAGCAAAUUGUAUUUACUGUUUGUAGGUCGCACUUGAGAACGAGGCUUGGUUUUUACGGGAAAAGAUAUCAAUUACAAAAUUGAGGCUUAGCUCGCACACUGAUUCGGCUUGUCCCGGAAUUACACGAGUUGGUCACGAAUGGGAUUGAACAUCUUACCACCUGUAUCUUCACCACGUAUGUAUUAAUUCUCGAUAUGUGAUGUGGUGGUUGAAAUAUAUAUUUGAUAACAGAGAGGACCUGAAUGAGUCACAGUCUAAGACACAUAUAUACAAAGACGGAAGUCCAUGAUUUCAAUAACAUAAUUCAGUUACCAUGUCUCCUUGCUGUUGUUAUUUCUGAUGUAACGUUUUGGGUACAUAUGUAUUAAAAUGGCUGUCACAUGCAUGAACGGGUCUCGAAUAUGAAUAGACUUUCUUAAUAUUUAUGCAUGACCCCAAGGACAAACUCCAAAACUAGGUUUUACACGCAUGUCUGCAACCUCCUACCCAGAGUUUCAUGGCGGCAGAGCAAACACCCGGAAGUGAUUUAUCGCUCGUCUCGCAUGUCUCGUCCAGCUUCCUCGAGAAUUUUGACCCAAGUCAAUCUAAGAGCGCGGGAAGUUCCCCGUUGAACAAGGGAUUCCAUUACAACAGCGAAGGGUUCAUCAACAGUAUUAAAACGUCGUGCGAUGGAUUCCUGUGUCCUGACUCGAUCUAUGGGGAAGAACGAAAUCACACAUAACCUAAAGAUUUUUCUGACAAAAGAUUCUUUAGUGAGGGUUUCUGCAACAAACUGUUCGUGUGCCAACAGACAGAGCCAGUGCUGUGGACAUCAGUUUAAAUACAAUGUAUGCACAUUGUGUAAUAAAAUAUUUGCGUCUCAAACGAUUUGACACUUUUA